rnacentral:lncRNA from 1 species
AGGGCAGCUGCUGGUGUCAGUGCCAUAGAUUCAGGAGACUGAAGACAGAGGAGACAGGCUCCAGAUCAGGUUAUUGUGAGGAUUCAGGUGACCUCAUGGAUUGGAUGAGUCACUGAGGAACCAUCUGGGCUGGCCAAUGGCUACAGUUUUGGGGUCGAUGAGAUAUCAGUGGACACCAUUACAGAUAUGGUAGAAGGAAGAGUCUCACAGUGGUUUCCAAGUGUGGUCCCCGGACCUGCAGCAUCAACAUCACCUGGAAACCCAUUAGAAAAGCAAACCCAGCUGUGGGCCCAGCAAGUUGUAGUUUAACAAGCCCUUCAGGUGAUUCUGAUGCACUCUCAGGAUUGAAAAGCACUGGUCUGGGAAAGACACAGUCUCCUCAGACCUGAAUGUCACAUCAUUCCAGGUGUAUACUUUGGGAGGUACACAGACCCACUGUAGCACCUUCAGAUGGUGAGAAGGAAGGCCAAUUAAAAGAAUGUCCAAAGAAAGGAGUACUCAUCAUGAGAUAAAACACCAGCAGAGGAAUGAAAGCUGCUUCAAACAGGUGACAAAACUGAGGCUCAGAGGCCAAUGGCCUUGUUCAAGGUCACACGCCCACUAAAUGAGAGACCCGGAGACCUGGCAUCACACGCUAACUAAGAAUACUGGAAGGAGAUAAGAUUGGGACUGAAAGACCUGGAUUGAAUGAUUUUUAUCAAGUCACUUCCCUUCCUUGGAUCUCCAUUUACUCAUCAAUAAACUAAGCAGAUUGGAUUAAAUGUUCUGUAAGGUGCCUUCUAGGUGAGGAAGAAGUUGGGAUAAGUCAUAAGGAAGCACCCCAAUGAACAUCUCCUGCCUCUAUGGUUUUUCUGACAUCCAUCAACAUCUGUCAGAAUUUGAAAAUGUGACUGCUUUUAGGCACUGUGCUUAGUGCUGGAGAUUCCGUGUUGAAGCUCACAGUCUGGGGCAGAGAUGGAAACAGACACAAAUAACUAUAAUACAAUGUGGUCACAGGACCCAGUUAGACUCCUGACCCAGGAGGACCAAUCCAAUCCUUUCCCUAGGAGUUGGGAAAGGAGACCAAGAGGUUAGUUUCAAUCUGAGAUGGUCCCUUGAACAGAGGAACAGCAAACUGGUGAGCUGUAUGGUAGCCAUGUUUGGCCAUGUGCACAUGAAGUGGGGAGACCAAUCUGAAGGAAGGUGGAGAAGAAAAAGGCAGAUGUGCAGAGAGAGGCACCUGACAGCUUUCUAGUCCGUUCUGAGACUCAACUGCUCCGCCUCCAUGUCCUUAAAAUAUUCCUGUGUCUUUGGAAUAAUCCCC